rnacentral:lncRNA from 1 species
UUUCUAAGACAUUGCGCACUGGAAUACCUCAUUUGGCUCUAUCAAUGACGUGCUUGUACAAAGUAUUGUACAUAUCUCAAGACCAGAAAACUAUGUGUUCAAAAACAGAUCAAACACUUGACAAGAUUUGGACAUCUCUCAACAGCGAAGACUUGCUAAUGCAACAUCUGCUGUGCUCAUUUGAUUUCUCUGCAUUCAUGACUCUUCCAGUUUUUCCAUCGCUGGCCUGUGGGAGAAGGAUCUGUACCCUCAGUGGAUGAACUGCUGAAAUGUUGAGACUUCUAACCAAAAGGUGUAUCCCCUCUACCUUAUCUGACAACCAGCUGAGACGUCAUGAACAAAAAAGAUAAGGCUUUGGAAAGGCAGAGUCUAUGGUAGCAGGUAAGUGCCUAACGCACAAGAAGCCAAUUUUAAUACAAAUUGAAGAAAAU